UACAUACUCCCUCCGUCCCAAAAUAAGUGUCGUGGUUUUAGUUCAAAAUUUUUGAACUGGUUUUAGUGUUCAAAAUUUUUGAACUAAAACCACGGCACUUAUUUUGGGACGGAGGGAGUAGUUA
rfam:Triticum urartu cultivar G1812 contig297071, whole genome shotgun sequence.